GUAAUACUCCCUCCGUCCGAAAAUACUUGUCAUCAAAAUGGAUAAAAAGAGAUGUAUCUUAAAUUAAAAUAUGUCUAGAUACAUCCCCUUUUAUCCAUUUUGAUGAUAAGUAUUUCUGGAUGGAGGGAGUAUAUA
rnacentral:pre_miRNA from 1 species